UGUCUCAGUACUAACCGCUUUAAGGCGAAACCGCGAAUGGCUCAUUAAAUCAGUUAUGGUUCCUUGGAUCUUACCCACACUUACAUGGAUAACUGUGGUAAUUCUAGAGCUAAUACAUGAACCUCGUACCCCGACCAGUGAUGGAAGGGGUGCUUUUAUUAGAACAAAACCAAUCGGUCGGUCUUCCGUCCGUUGCCUUGGUGACUCUGAAUAACUUUUGGCUGAUCGCACGGUCGUUGCACCGGCGACGCAUCUUUCAAAUGUCUGCCUUAUCAACUUUCGAUGGUAGGUUCUGCGCCUACCAUGGUUGUAACGGGUGACGGGGAAUCAGGGUUCGAUCCCGGAGAGGGAGCCUGAGAAACGGCUACCACAUCCAAGGAAGGCAGCAGGCGCGCAAAUUACCCACUCCCGGAACGGGGAGGUAGUGACGAAAAAUAACGAUACGGGACUCAUCCGAGGCCCCGUAAUCGGAAUGAGAACACUUUAAAUCCUUUAACGAGGAUCUAUUGGAGGGCAAGUCUGGUGCCAGCAGCCGCGGUAAUUCCAGCUCCAAUAGCGUAUAUUAAAGUUGUUGCGGUUAAAAAGCUCGUAGUCGGAGGUGUGUCUCGGACGGUCGGUUCGCCGCUUGUCGGUGCUCAACUGGCCGGUCCGGACGUCCUGCCGGUGGGGCCGCGAGGCCCCGUUAUCCUUCUUUGGUCCUCUUCACCGAGUGCCUUGGUGGGCCGGCACGUUUACUUUGAACAAAUUAGAGUGCUCAAAGCAGGCCGUUGGUCGCCUGAAUACUGUGUGCAUGGAAUAAUGGAAUAGGACCUCGGUUCCAUUUUGUUGGUUUUCAGAACUCGAGGUAAUGAUUAAUAGGGACGGACGGGGGCAUUC
rnacentral:rRNA from 1 species